rnacentral:rRNA from 1 species
UUGAACGCUGGCGGCAUGCUUUACACAUGCAAGUCGAACGGUAACAGGCCUUCGGGUGCUGACGAGUGGCGAACGGGUGAGUAAUGCAUCGGAACGUACCCAGAGGUGGGGGAUAACGCAGCGAAAGCUGUGCUAAUACCGCAUGUGAUCUGAGGAUGAAAGCGGGGGACCGAGCAGCAAUGUUUGGCCUCGCGCCUUUGGAGCGGCCGAUGUCGGAUUAGCUAGUUGGUGGGGUAAAGGCCUACCAAGGCGACGAUCCGUAGCUGGUCUGAGAGGACGACCAGCCCCACUGGGACUGAGACACGGCCCAGACUCCUACGGGAGGCAGCAGUGGGGAAUUUUGGACAAUGGGCGCAAGCCUGAUCCAGCAAUGCCGCGUGCGGGAAGAAGGCCUUCGGGUUGUAAACCGCUUUUGGCAGGAACGAAACGGUGUCCGCUAAUACCGGGCGCUAAUGACGGUACCUGCAGAAUAAGCACCGGCUAACUACGUG